rnacentral:rRNA from 1 species
GACGAACCGAGCGAACGUUGUUCGGAAUCACUGGGCUUAAAGGGCGCGUAGGCGGUUGCUCAAGUCCGUGGUGAAAUCCUCCGGCUCAACCGGAGAACUGCCUCGGAUACUGGGCGUCUCGAGUGUGGUAGGGGUAUGCGGAACUAUCGGUGGAGCGGUGAAAUGCGUUGAUAUCGAUAGGAACUCCGGUGGCGAAGGCGGCAUACUGGACCACCACUGACGCUGAUGCGCGAAAGCCAGGGGAGCAAACGGG